AUUGAACGCUGGCGGCAGGCCUAACACAUGCAAGUCGAGCGGAGCGGCGGUCGCGUGAGUAAUGCCUAGGCAUCUGCCUGCUAGUGGGGGAUAACGUCCGGCAACGGGCGCUAAUUCCUCAUACUAUCCGUUUAGCCUAGGUCGGAUUAGCUAGUGGGGGGGGUAAUGGCCUACCAGGGCGAGGAUCCGUAACUGGUCUGAGGGGAUGAUCAGCCAAACGGGAACUGAGACACGGUCCAGACUCCUACGGGAGGCAGCAGUGGGGAAUAUUGGACAAGGGGCGAAAGCCGGAUGCAGCAAGGCCGGGGGGGUGAAGAAGGUCUUGGGAUUGUAAAGCACGUUAAGUGGGGAGGCGUUACCAACAGAAUAAGCACCGGCUAACUACGUGCCAGCAGCCGCGGUAAUUC
rnacentral:rRNA from 1 species